rnacentral:rRNA from 1 species
UUAACACAUGCAAGUCGAGGGGCAUCAGGAAGAAAGCUUGCUUUCUUUGCUGGCGACCGGCGCACGGGUGAGUAACACGUAUCCAACCUGCCCUUUACUCGGGGAUAGCCUUUCGAAAGAAAGAUUAAUACCCGAUAGCAUAAUGAUUCCGCAUGGUUUCAUUAUUAAAGGAUUCCGGUAAAGGAUGGGGAUGCGUUCCAUUAGGUUGUUGGUGAGGUAACGGCUCACCAAGCCUUCGAUGGAUAGGGGUUCUGAGAGGAAGGUCCCCCACAUUGGAACUGAGACACGGUCCAAACUCCUACGGGAGGCAGCAGUGAGGAAUAUUGGUCAAUGGGCGCUAGCCUGAACCAGCCAAGUAGCGUGAAGGAUGAAGGCUCUAUGGGUCGUAAACUUCUUUUAUAUAAGAAUAAAGUGCAGUAUGUAUACUGUUUUGUAUGUAUUAUAUGAAUAAGGAUCGGCUAACUCCGUGCCAGCAGCCGCGGUAAUACGGAGGAUCCGAGCGUUAUCCGGAUUUAUUGGGUUUAAAGGGAGCGUAGGUGGACUGGUAAGUCAGUUGUGAAAGUUUGCGGCUCAACCGUAAAAUUGCAGUUGAUACUGUUAGUCUUGAGUACAGUAGAGGUGGGCGGAAUUUGUGGUGUAGCGGUGAAAUGCUUAGAUAUCACGAAGAACUCCGAUUGCGAAGGCAGUUCACUGGACUGCAACUGACACUGAUG